rnacentral:rRNA from 1 species
GCCUUCGGGUUGUAAAGCUCUUUUGUCAGGGAAGAAACGGUGGAGGCUAAUAUCCUUCACUAAUGACGGUACCUGAAGAAUAACCACCGGCUAACUACGUGCCAGCAGCCGCGGUAAUACGUAGGGUGCAAGCGUUAAUCGGAAUUACUGGGCGUAAAGCGUGCGCAGGCGGUUAUACAAGACAGAUGUGAAAUCCCCGGGCUCAACCUGGGAAUUGCAUUUGUGACUGUAUGGCUAGAGUGUGUCAGAGGGGGGUAGAAUUCCACGUGUAGCAAUGAAAUGCGUAGAUAUGUGGAGGAAUACCGAUGGCGAAGGCAGCCCCCUGGGAUAACACUGACGCUCAUGCACGAAAGCGUGGGGAGCAAACAGGAUUAGAUACCCUGGUAGUCCACGCCCUAAACGAUGUCUACUAGUUGUCGGGUCUUAAUUGACUUGGUAACGCAGCUGACGCGUGAAGUAGACCGCCUGGGGAGUACGGUCGCAAGAUUAAAACUCACAGGAAUUGACGGGGACCCGCACAAGCGGUGGAUGAUGUGGAUUAAUUCGAUGCAACGCGAAAAACCUUACCUACCCUUGACAUGGUCGGAAUCCCGAAGAGA